rnacentral:rRNA from 1 species
UACGUAGGGCGCAAGCGUUGUCCGGAAUUAUUGGGCGUAAAGAGCUCGUAGGCGGUUUGUCGCGUCUGCUGUGAAAACCUAAGGCUCAACCUUGGGCUUGCAGUGGGUACGGGCAGACUAGAGUGCGGUAGGGGUGACUGGAAUUCCUGGUGUAGCGGUGGAAUGCGCAGAUAUCAGGAGGAACACCGAUGGCGAAGGCAGGUCACUGGGCCGCAACUGACGCUGAGGAGCGAAAGCGUGGGGAGCAAACGGG